ACUCCUACGGGAGGCAGCAGUGAGGAAUAUUGGUCAAUGGACGCGAGUCUGAACCAGCCAAGUAGCGUGAAGGAUGACUGCCCUAUGGGUUGUAAACUUCUUUUAUAAGGGAAUAAAGUGAGGGACGUGUCCCUUUUUGUAUGUACCUUAUGAAUAAGGAUCGGCUAACUCCGUGCCAGCAGCCGCGGUAAU
rnacentral:rRNA from 1 species